UACACCAAUAAUCAGUUCCAUUCUCUAGACUUCAGAAUCUCUGCGUUUCAUCCAAGGAGGAUGAGAAGAAGAAGAAGAAGCCGUGAGCAACCCUAGCAGCCGUCCUUCAACCUUGUGUCGUAGCUCUUGAGGAUACUUGCUUUCAAGAUCUUCAAGCUUCAAUGUCUACAAGUUCAUCAUUCAUCUUUCGCGUGUGUACCCUCAAUCCUCGGCUUGAACGAUCCCUACUUAUUAUAUAUUAACAACUACAUUUUGAAGGGUUAAAUUGUGUGCUACUUUUAGCAUAUCAGAAGAUAAUAUUUCUCUUUUAGCACCUGUCACUUUCACUACUAGAAUUAUGCUCAUAGACAUCACGUCAUUUAAAUCAGUUGAGAUUGCACGUGAUGUAAAAAAAUAUUCUAACAUCGGUUUCUGAAAAUCCGAUUUCUAUUUACAUAAUUAACCUCGGUUGUUACUGUUGACCGAUGUCUAUAUUUUGAUUCCAAAAUUUUGAAAAACGCGGAAAGACUAAGUUAAAAAAUUUCGUACACGCGGGGAACAAAAUUUUCAUUCCCCCCACACUUGGUCAGUUUUUCCACUUUUACCUUCACUCACUUUAUCUUCCAAUUUCACACUUUCCCUCUUUCUGCGAAGCCCUAGCCCCAUCCUCCUUCCUCUCCCGCUAUCUUUCCACGGCCACCACCGCCUCCCUCUAUUGUCUCUUUCUCAUUAAUGGCCUCCUCCUUCUCGCCACACUCUCUCUCUCACUAACUCUCUCUAAAACCGUCUGUCUCUCUCUGGAAUUGACGAAGAUGAAGUCUAUGUAGCCGCGCCACAAUUUCUUACUGGAGACGAUGAAGCCAAGCCUCCCCAGUCGCCAAACCCCAGCUCCGGCAAGCCUCCAAGCAGAAUGCGCCUCUCACUGAGAAAUCCUCUCGUCAGUCUCUGAUCCCUAGCUUCCUCUACUCCUCCUCCUCCGCCAAAACUUUUGGGCUUAAGAAGAUGCUUCACGCCAGCCCUAGCACCAGCUUCAAAACGAAUGGAGAGGCAGUCUCGUAGACCAAGGGGUUGGUCAUUCCGUCUCCGAGCGAGCUGUCCAAGAAGAUCGAGAUGUACUCGUCGACCUUUUAUGUUGCUUGUACUGCAGGAGGAAUCCACAGCUGUGUCUUACUCACAUGGCUGUACUUAUAUUGACCUCGUCAAGUGCAAUAUGCAGGUCCAUUUUUCUCCAGAUCUCUCAUUAAUUUGUUUCAAGUUCUAUCAGUAGAUGUGUUUCAGAUGUGUAUGGAUUUAUCCCUAUAGGUUGUAUCGGUUCUUUACACAUAUGUAGGCCAUAAUUCUGAAUAUUAUGAUUGGAUCUUGAUCUGAACAGGGUCUAGCUUUCAUUGGAUUUAUGCCUUUAUCCGGAUUUUUCUUUUGAGAAACUAUCAUUUUGCACUUUUAAUUAAUGAUUUGUCCUCCUAGCCUUUCUUUGCUUGUGGCUUGAUUUAUUGUGUUCAAUUCUAUAUUUACUGAUGGACUUCAGCCUCUCAUCUUGUAUUUAUUGGUUGAUUUGAGUAGGUCACGCUUAGGUUUUACUUUUCAUUAGUCGUUCAUGACUACUAUGUCUUUUAUCUCUAUAUUUAGUGGGUGAUUUAGAUGUUUAAUUAACUCUUGUUUUGUUGGGUUAACUCUUAUGUUGCGGCAUUGCAAAUUAGAUCUUUGUGAUAUUUGUUUUCAUAUAUCAUUCAUCGUUUUCAUACAUCUAUUAGGGACACUCGUGCUUCAGCUUUGGAGCAAAGUUUGAGGAAACUAGCUGUGGAAAGUAAUUUUACACCAUUAUUAUUACUUUGACUCAACGUGACCCCAAACAGUGAAUUCACUAGAGAUAGUAGGAACAAGUAAACUUAGUAAGAUAACGUAUUUGUGUGAGGAACUUGAUUGCACUUUUAUACCAUGGAGGGGUGCCAAAAAAAUACUUCAUUGAGUUACUUAUGAAAGCUUUAGAAGAGACUCGUGAUGUUUUUAGCAAUACAAGCGCAGCAUUCAGAGUUACCCUUAGAAAUGGCGAGAUCGAUGACAAUAGUAUUGUUGCAAAAAUGAUCUCCUGUGGUAUUCCUCUUGAAGAACCAUAUGUGAAAUAUCGUCUUUCAACCCUUAUGAAAAUGGAAAAGAUCAAUCUUAAAAAAGGGAAAACUUGACAGGGACAGCUGAUCCAACAGGAAAACUUGAAAAAGAUGAAGUUUGCAUUAUCCUGCAUAGGCAGUGGGCUGAUGCUAAAAGAGAAUUGUAAGAAGAGAAAAUAAUGCCCUCACUUGUACUUGACCGCGAUCAGACCAUAAAAAAUGCCAUCAAACAGGUUGAAGAAAUGAGAAAAGAUUUGUAUAAUGCACU